UGCGUCGCAACUGUACUCCAUUUGAUAACCCCUUCUUGAAAAUAGCAAACCAAAUGGGAAACAACAAACUACUUCAUAAUUAUCUGCCAUCAAAUCCAUCAAAUUACAAUUCAUUUCCAUUAAAACUCUCUUGAAUACACCAACCUUCUUGAAUACUCCAACCAUCAAAUUAAUUCAAAAUCCCUUCCAUUCUCUUCUUCAACUCUCCGACCCUUUGUCUUUCUCAUGGCUUCCAUCUAACUUCGAUCAUCGGUCGCCGCUUCCUCAGCAUUAGAAGGAACCAUAUGCAUUAAAGAAGUUGUCUCCCUCUUUCUGAUUCCCUCAGAAGUUAUAAGCUGAGCAACCUUAUUAGAUUCCCUAUUGGUAAAAUGAAAAGCACAAUACCUGAAACCUAAACUCAGUUUCUUAAGAUCAUUUAUAAACGCUGCAAUUUCAAAUUUGUCAUCCUUCUCCUCUUGCAGUUUACAGAUCACCGACCGAGAAUCUCCCUCAACUUCCACUUCCCUCAAUCCAAGGUGUAUCCCGAGAUUGAGUGCCUGAAAACACGCCAUCGCUUCAGCUGCAAAAACAAAUAGUAUAUUCACAUUCAUGACUGUCUUUGAGCAGAUAACAUCUGCUUUUUCAUUUCAAACCACUAACCCAGAACACUACUCGUUCCUAUGUUUGUUGAAAGCUGCAUCGAGGUUUAUUUUAAACCUCAACCCUAACGGAGCAACCCAUCUAGCCAUAUGAACCCAUCUUUCAGGUACGUACAUAUUUACCCAUCCAGUUCCUUUAGAUAGUUUAUCACAAAAUCUGCAACUUGGGCACUCGAUUUCAUUUGCCCCUCAUGUAUAAAUAUGUUUCUGGAAGUCCAAAUCGCCCAUAGUGCACACGCUAUCACCCUGCACUUAGCCAUAGAAUGUGACUCAAAAAUAUUUUUUAGCUAAUCUUUGAAAUCAGUAUUUGCAUUUGAAAUAGACCAAAAAAUAUUUAACUUCUCCCAUGUUUCCUUUGCUGUAGGGCAUACUCGAAACAAGUGCUCCCUCGUUUCUACUCCAGUUUGACAUUUUCAGCAAGUAGUAGAACCCAUCAUUCUUCGAUAGUGAAGAUUACCAAAUGUAGGAAAAUAAUUGCACGAAAAUCUCCAAAUUGUAAUUUUGAUUUUAGGGGGUAGAUCUAAAUUCCACAAUUUCUUGUAAAAUUGUUUGCAAUUAGGCUGUACUUGAUUCGGACUGUCAUGAUAAAGAAAUUUGUGUCUACUACGGACUGAAUAUUCCCCGGUCGACUCACCACGCUAGAUGAUAUAGCCCUCGUGUGAAAACAAAGGCAAAGGAAUACAUAAAAUCCUCUCUGCAUCCUUCUCCGAAAAGAUAUUAUAAACCAACUCAGCUUUUUAUUUCCUUGAAUUUGCAUAAAUUAAAUCUGCAACUUUUAGAAGUCUUGAGUUAGCAUUCAUAUUCUAAAUUCUGAACUCGUCAUUUCCAGGAACCCAAGCAUCUCCCCAUAUAGAAACUUUUCGUCCAUCAGCAAUCCUCUAGCCCAAGCCUUUCAAAAGGAGUCCCUUCGCAACCUAUAAACUCUUUCAGUUAAAGGAAGGUAAAUUUCCCAACCUAGAAUUUAAGAAAUCAGAAUCUUUAUAAUAUUUGGCUUUCAAAGUACGUGCUAGUUUCACGGACUUAGAAUUUUUGCAAGCAAUCCGUGCGGCCUUAGGCAGAUUCCUCUCUCAAACGUCUAAGUCAGUCUAACUUACAACAAUUAAGGAUCCAAAUAGAACUCUUCUAAGGAACCCAUGAAGAACAGUAGAAGAACGAAGUAAGAACGAACUUGAACGAUGAACAAAAGCUAUAGAAAAAUAUAAGUACUUGAGAGAAAAGUUUGAGUGAAUGCUUUCAAAAUUCUAUUAAUAACUGAAUGAAUUACAAUAAGGGGGAGAGGCCUCUAUUUAUAGUUGAGCCUUCCCAAUAUCUAUGGUACAGAUCGAAAUACAUCAAUUGCUAAGAUUAAAAGCUAUCUAGAUAUCAAAUUUUUAAUAUUACAGAAUCUUAUCUUCUAAAGGUUACAUUUAAUGUUUAGGAUCACAUAUCUUCGGAGAUCCCCUGCCAUAUUUGCUGUGCAUAUCUUUAAAGCUCACUUUUCAUAUUUACCAAGAUCUCGAUAUGGGCUUUCAAUCUCUCCAUGCAAUGGACCUGUCCGAUUAGGCCGAAUGACCUCUUUCGAAUGCAAUGGAUCGUACAAAUUCGUCAUGGUUGCAGGUUCCCAUUCACAACCCAUGACAUUCUCCCCUACUUGUUCUAGCAACGCCCUCGUCGCGUCUCUCUCAUGGAACUAGUCUAUCUUCUAUUAAAACUGCCAUAAUGGCUCGGCAGGUUCCCAACUUGUUUCGCUAUCAGGAAGUCCCUUCCAUCGAACCAAAUAUUUAUACCGUGAUCAAUAGUACCUUUGUCUAACCACACGAUCUGCCUCAAUGUUUUCAACUUUACGGUCGUAUAAGACCUUUACCUAUAUUGGUGCUCGUUCAGACUUGCCUCGAUUGGGAUCCUUUUGAUCCACAUGAAAUGACUUAAGCAUGUUUACAUGAAACACUGGGUGGACUUUGAGCUUUGCUGACAACUCAAGCUUGUAGGCUACCUUGCCUACUUUCUUCACAACUUUGAAUGGCCCUUUGUACCUUCGUAGAAGCCCUUUGUGCAAACCCAUAUAUCGUAACAUCAAGUAUAGUUUGGCAAGGACUGAGUCACCC
rnacentral:lncRNA from 1 species